AUUGAACGCUGGCGGCAGGCCUAACACAUGCAAGUCGAGCGGAUGAAGGGAGCUUGCUCCUGGAUUCAGCGGCGGACGGGUGAGUAAUGCCUAGGAAUCUGCCUGGUAGUGGGGGGUAACGUCCGGAAACGGGCGCUAAUACCGCAUACGUCCUGAGGGAGAAAGUGGGGGAUCUUCGGACCUCACGCUAUCAGAUGAGCCUAGGUCGGAUUAGCUAGUUGGUGGGGUAAAGGCCUACCAAGGCGACGAUCCGUAACUGGUCUGAGAGGAUGAUCAGUCACACUGGAACUGAGACACGGUCCAGACUCCUACGGGAGGCAGCAGUGGGGAAUAUUGGACAAUGGGCGAAAGCCUGAUCCAGCCAUGCCGCGUGUGUGAAGAAGGUCUUCGAAUUGUAAAGCACUUUAAGUUGGGAGGAAGGGCAGUAAGUUAAUACCUUGCUGUUUUGACGUUACCAACAGAAUAAGCACCGGCUAACUUCGUG
rnacentral:rRNA from 1 species